UACGUAGGGUGCAAGCGUUGUCCGGAAUUAUUGGGCGUAAAGAGCUCGUAGGUGGCCUGUCGCGUCGGCUGUGAAAACUCGAGGCUCAACCUCGAGCCUGCAUUCGAUACUGGGCGGCUAGAGUCUGGUAGGGGGAUCUGGAAUUCCUGGUGUAGCGGUGGAAUGCGCAGAUAUCAGGAGGAACACCGGUGGCGAAGGCGGGAUCCUGGGCCAGUACUGACGCUGAGGAGCGAAAGCGUGGGGAGCAAACAGGG
rnacentral:rRNA from 1 species